GGAGAUAUUGUCUAGUGGUUACGACGUCGGUUUCUGAAUUUUGCUUCAAGAAUUCCGAAAGCCUGGGUUCGAACCCCAGUAUCUCCU